GAUGAACGCUGGCGGCGUGCUUAACACAUGCAAGUCGAACGGUGAACACGGAGCUUGCCCUGUGGGAUCAGUGGCGAACGGGUGAGUAACACGUGAGCAACCUGCCCCUGACUCUGGGAUAAGCGCUGGAAACGGCGUCUAAUACUGGAUAUGUGACGUGACCGCAUGGUCUGCGUUUGGAAAGAUUGUUCGGUUGGGGAUGGGCUCGCGGCCUAUCAGCUCGUUGGUGAGGUAAUGGCUCACCAAGGUGUCGACGGGUAGCCGGCCUGAGAGGGUGACCGGCCACACUGGGAUUGCGACACGGCGCAGACUCCUACGUGAGGCAGCAGUGGGGAAUAUUGCACAAUGGGCGAAAGCCUGAUGCGGCAACGCCGCGUGAGUGAUGACGGCCUUCGAGUUGUAAACCUUUUUUAGCGGGGAAGAAGAGAUAGUGACGGUACCUGCAGAGAAAGCGCCGGCUAACUACGUG
rnacentral:rRNA from 1 species